rnacentral:lncRNA from 1 species
UGCCUCAUGCCGGGUAAGAGGAGCUGCAGGCCGCUGUGCCCGCGUCUCCGCUCACUGAGGGCCUCUGAAACCAGACGUAACGGGGCAAACUUGAGGCCUGGUGAUGCCUCCAAAAACAGCCCCAGAAGCCCUGAAAAACCGUGGGGCUUUUUACCGCAGGCGCCCCAAGGGAGAGGCGGGGACGUGACACAGAGGCAUUCCUGAAAAUCCUCUCAGGAAAACCUUCCUUCCCCCAGAGAUUCUCCCCACACACAGCCCUCUCACUGAAGCAGUGCUCCACCCCCACCCCCACCCCCAGCUCCUCCCUCCCUGGGCCUUAAGGCUCAGACACUGGACCCUGACGGGGGGGGCCCUCUGUGUGCCCCCCACAGCCCCUAGAGACAUAUUCUCUCCCUCCUUCUCUCCAGGAAACCAGCCCUCCCUGAGGGUCUCUGCCUCCCGGAGUAACGAGGGAAAGCUCUUCACAGAAAACGUCAGCUCAUCAGUACGGGAGGAAUGGAAGAAUUAGGAGCUCUGCAUUCUGCACCCCUCAGAUAACUGAGCGGGACAAGGGGACGUGAAAGUGUGUCAAUCACACAGUGCCACCCGGGAAAGAAAAAACACCCUCCACUUUCAUCGGAGACGUCUGGCUGUCAGCGCCUUCGUGGGGAUUCAAACUCAGCAUCACCCAUGCUGGGUCAGUCUGACGUUAGGGGUCGAAAACUCCAGCUCACGGAAUCGCCGACGCUGUGGUCUUGCUGAAAACACUUCAGCCCUCACGUCCAGUUUACGGGAAGGAGGAGGGAUAGAGCACGCGGUAAACAACACCAGGAGAAAGGACCAGACAGGUGCCGAGAGCCAGACCUAACGCAUCUCUCAAACAGGGUAACGUCAGGAAAAGGGUAGGAUUGGUUCUAGGAUGAAAACAGCUAAAAAGAAGCAACAUUUCUAACAACAAGCAUGAACCUGAUCACCUAAGCAGCACGAAAGUAUUGUGAUGACAUUUCGGUACGAACGGAGUAUCACAGACCCAUCCGUACUGCUAACUGGGUGUGGUGAUAGCACAAUGCUUAUCUGGAAGAAUGGCCUUAUUUCUAGGAGAUGAGCUGUUGAGGGUGAAAUGUCUUGAUGUCCGAAACUUGUUUUCAAAUGACUCAGCAAAGUCGAUACGUGCACAGAAGGUCGAGAGGACAAAAUCAGUGACCGGAGCUGGGGAGCGGACGUGGUGGGGAGUUGUACAACGUGUUCCCCUUCUCUGGAUGUUUGAAAUUUUUUCGUAACAAAAAGUUGGAGAAAAAUAAAAUGUC